CCUCUCCUCUUUCUCUUGAUGUGGAAUGUUUAUAACAUUUAUGCAGUGGUCAAGUAUACUAUUAUGUAUGGUUUGUAAUACUGACUGACUUAAGGAGAGACUUGAGCCUGUGUGCCCACAGCUGUGACUGCCAAGUGAAUGGGAAGCACUAAGAAUUGCCUCCUCGGGAUCUCUAGUAGUAUACAUAACAUGCUCCAGAGGGCAUGGAUUUGUCAGACUUUUUUUUUAAAUAGGGUUUUUAAGAACAGUUUUAGAUUUAGAGUAAUUGAGAAGAUAGUACAUGGAGAUCCCACAUACCACAUGUGUGGCUUCCCCUCUUAUUAACAUCUUACCUUAGUGUGCUACAUAUGUUAUAUAUAUAUAUAUUUUUUUUGAGACAGAGUCUCGCUGCGACGCCCAGGCUAGAGUGCAAUGGUGCAAUCUUGGCUCACUGCAACCUCUGCUUCCCAGUUUCAAGCGAUUCUUCUGCCUCAGCCUCUCGAGUAGCUGGGACUACAGGUACGUGCCAUCAUGCCCAGCUAAUUUUUGAGUGAAAGCCAGUGCACCUGGCCCAUUUGUUAUGAUUAAUGAACCAAUAUUGAGACACAAGUAACUGAAGUCCACACUUUGACAGUUUCCUUAGGUUUGCCUCAUGUCCCUAAUGUGGUAUCCAUCAGAACACCCCAUUACAUUGAGUUAUGUGUCUUUAGGCUCCUUCUCAGACUUUCCUCGUUUUUGAUGACCUUGACAGUUUCGAAGAGUACUGGGCAGAUAUUUUGAAGAAUGUCCCUCAAUUAAAAUGUGUCUAUUAUCUCCUGGUUAGACUGGGACUGCAGGUUACAGAAAGGAAGCAUCUAGGGGUGAAGUGCCACUGUCACCCCAUCACAUCAGGGACACACACUGUCACCUCGACUAUAACUGUGAGGCUGACCUGCGUCACUUGGCUGAGGUGGAGUCUGCCAGUUUUCUCCACAAUAAAGUGGCUCUUUCCCUCCUUUUCUUUAUUGCACUCUUUGGGAGGAAGUGGCUAUGUGUGGUCUACACUUAAGGAGAGGGGAGUUACGUUUCCCUCCUUGAGGGUGAGUAUCUACAAAAUUUAUCUGGGCAGCUUUUUUUUUUUUUUUUUUUUGAGUUAGGGUCUCAGUCUGUCACCCAGGUUGGAGUGCAGUGGUUGCCUGGCCUUGACAGCUUUUUAAUAGUUUAAAAUGAAUUGAGGCUGGGCGAGGUUGCUCAUGCCUGUAACUCCAGCACUUUGAGAGGCCAAGGCAGGUGGAUCACUUGAGCCCAGGAGUUCAAGACCAGCCUGGGCAACACAGUGAGACCCUGUGUCUACUAAAAAUACAAAAAUUAGCUGGGCAUGGUGGUGUGCCUGUAAUUCCAGCUGCUCAGGAGGCUGACAUGGAGAAUCACCUGAGCCCGGGGAAGUUGAGGCUGCAAUGAGCGGUGGUCUCACCACUGCACUCUAGCCUGUGUGACAGACUGAGACCCUGCCUAUAAAAAAGAAAAGAAAAAAGAACUGAAAUAAGACCCAAGUCCAACAGUUGUGAGAUUCAGGCGCGGUCUGGGUCUCUGUUCCUGGAAAGUGUGAUCCUGUGGGUGCAGCCCCUGCUCGCUUGGCUGUGUUGCCUGCCUGGCCCCUGCUCUAAUGAGCCCACUGCCCAGAGUUUGCUCAAACCACCCAAUUCCGAGUCUGGGAACCAGGAGACCGCUGGACACCCCGCUCACCACACAGAAGACUGUGGCCUGAGUCAGGAGAAGGAAG
rnacentral:lncRNA from 10 species